UUAAGUUUCAUCCUUGCGGACGUACUUCCCAGGCGGUUCGCUUCUCGGCUUCCCUACGACACAGCACAGGCACGUAGCCUGUGCCACAUCUAGCGAACAUCGUUUACGGCUAGGACUACCCGGGUAUCUAAUCCGGUUCGAGACCCUAGCUUUCGUCCCUCACUGUCGGAUCCGUCGUCUUGAGGUGCUUUCGCCAUCGGCGGUCCGUCCAGGAUUACAGGAUUUCACUCCUACCCCAGACGUACCCCUCAAGUCUUCCGGUCCCAAGCCCUGUAGUUUCCGCCGGACGCCCACUCGUUAGGCGAGUGGAUUUCCCGACGGACUUGCAGGGCCAGCUACGGACGCUUUAGGCCCAAUAAAAUCGGCCAUCACUCGAGCUGCCGGUAUUACCGCGGCGGCUGGCACCGGUCUUGCCCAGCUCUUGGUCGUGUACCACCCUACGGUACACAAUAGCGAGGACUGUAUGCCCUCGCACUCGGAGUCCCCUUAUCGCACCUUCGUGCAGUGUAAAGGUUUCGCGCCUGCUGCGCCCCGUAGGGCCCGGAAUCUUGUCUCAGAUUCCGUCUCCGGGCUCGUGCUCUCACACCCCGUACCAAUUAUCGGCUCGGUGGGCCGUUACCCCACCGACUACCUAAUCGGCCGCAGCCGCAUCCUGCAGCGCCGGAGCGUUUGUCGGUCUCGGCAUUCCAGCGUGAGACCGGUAUGGGGGAUUCCCGUCAGUUUCCCGACGCUGUCCCCCUCUGCAGGGUAGCUUGGCCACGUGUUACUGAGCUGUUCGCCGCGAGGGCUAACCUCGCUCGACUAGCAUGGCUAAAUCGGACUCCGAUAGCAAUGGCC
rnacentral:rRNA from 1 species